AGUGAACGCUGGCGGUAGGCCUAACACAUGCAAGUCGAACGGCAGCACAGUAAGAGCUUGCUCUUACGGGUGGCGAGUGGCGGACGGGUGAGGAAUACAUCGGAAUCUACUUUUUCGUGGGGGAUAACGUAGGGAAACUUACGCUAAUACCGCAUACGACCUACGGGUGAAAGCAGGGGAUCUUCGGACCUUGCGCGAUUGAAUGAGCCGAUGUCGGAUUAGCUAGUUGGCGGGGUAAAGGCCCACCAAGGCGACGAUCCGUAGCUGGUCUGAGAGGAUGAUAAGCCCCACUGGAACUGAGACACGACCCAGACUCCUCCGGGAGGCAGCAGUGGGGAAUAUUGGACAAUGGGCGAAAGCCUGACCCCGCCAUGCCGCGGGUGUGAAGAGGGCCUUCGGUUUGAAAAGCCUUUUUGUGGGGAAGAAAAAGCAGCAGUUUAAUCCCCUGCUGUUUUGACGUUCCCAAAAGAAUAAGCACCGGCAAACUUGGUC
rnacentral:rRNA from 1 species